rnacentral:rRNA from 1 species
AACGUAGGUUCCGAGCGUUAUCCGGAUUUACUGGGCGUAAAGCGCGUUCAGGCGGUUUGGCAAGUCGGGCAUGAAAUCUCUCGGCUCAACCGGGAGAGGUUGUCCGAUACUUCCAGACUUGAGGGCAGUAGAGGGUGGUGGAAUUCCGGGUGUAGUGGUGAAAUGCGUAGAUAUCGUGAGGAACACCAGAGGCGAAGGCGGCUACCUGGACAAUUGCUGACGCUCAGGCACGAAAGCGUGGGGAGCAAAAGGG